UGGGGAAUCUUCCGCAAUGGGCGCAAGCCUGACGGAGCAACGCCGCGUGAGUGAAGAAGGUCUUCGGAUCGUAAAGCUCUGUUGAUGGGGACGAACGUGCCUAAUGCGAAUAGUAUUAGGUAAUGACGGUACCCAUCGAGGAAGCCACGGCUAACUACGUGCCAGCAGCCGCGGUAAUACGUAGGUGGCGAGCGUUGUCCGGAAUCAUUGGGCGUAAAGGGAGCGCAGGCGGGCAUGUAAGUCUUUCUUAAAAGUGCGGGGCUCAACCCCGUGAUGGGAAAGAAACUAUGUGUCUUGAGUACAGGAGAGGAAAGCGGAAUUCCCAGUGUAGCGGUGAAAUGCGUAGAUAUUGGGAGGAACACCAGUGGCGAAGGCGGCUUUCUGGACUGCAACUGACGCUGAGGCUCGAAAGCCAGGGGCGCGAACGGG
rnacentral:rRNA from 1 species